GAUUCUGUGCGAUGGAUGACUUGGUCCGUGUGUGUACUGAGAACACAGCUAGCUGUAUGAGCUACCAUGAAGGGCAGGACACAUUGAUCACUGAUAGUAUGAACGCUCUUGAAGCCCUGGGUUUACUACAAGGCUAUGCCUGUCUGAGUAUCG
rnacentral:rRNA from 1 species